AGUUUGAUCCUGGCUCAGGAUGAACGCUAGCUACAGGCUUAACACAUGCAAGUCGAGGGGCAGCAUUGGGGUAGCAAUACUUCAGAUGGCGACCGGCGCACGGGUGAGUAACACGUAUCCAACCUGCCGCUUACUCGGGGAUAGCCUUUCGAAAGAAAGAUUAAUACCCGAUGGUAUAAAGAGUUCGCAUGUUCUCUUUAUUAAAGAAUUUCGGUAAGCGAUGGGGAUGCGUUCCAUUAGAUUGUUGGCGGGGUAACGGCCCACCAAGUCUACGAUGGAUAGGGGUUCUGAGAGGAAGGUCCCCCACAUUGGAACUGAGACACGGUCCAAACUCCUACGGGAGGCAGCAGUGAGGAAUAUUGGUCAAUGGACGCGAGUCUGAACCAGCCAAGUAGCGUGAAGGAUGACUGCCCUAUGGGUUGUAAACUUCUUUUAUAAGGGAAUAAAGUGAGGGACGUGUCCCUUUUUGUAUGUACCUUAUGAAUAAGGAUCGGCUAACUCCGUGCCAGCAGCCGCGGUAAUACGGAGGAUCCAAGCGUUAUCCGGAUUUAUUGGGUUUAAAGGGAGCGUAGGUUGACAUAUAAGUCAGCUGUGAAAGUUUACGGCUCAACCGUGAAAUUGCAGUUGAUACUGUAUGUCUUGAGUGUACAAGAGGUGGGCGGAAUUCGUGGUGUAGCGGUGAAAUGCUUAGAUAUCACGAAGAACUCCAAUUGCGAAGGCAGCUCACUGGGGUACAACUGACACUGAGGCUCGAAAGUGUGGGUAUCAAACAGGAUUAGAUACCCUGGUAGUCCACACAGUAAACGAUGAAUACUCGCUGUUUGCGAUAUACAGUAAGCGGCCAAGCGAAAGCAUUAAGUAUUCCACCUGGGGAGUACGCCGGCAACGGUGAAACUCAAAGGAAUUGACGGGGGCCCGCACAAGCGGAGGAACAUGUGGUUUAAUUCGAUGAUACGCGAGGAACCUUACCCGGGCUUGAAUUGCAGAGGAACAUAGUUGAAAGAUUAUGGCCGCAAGGUCUCUGUGAAGGUGCUGCAUGGUUGUCGUCAGCUCGUGCCGUGAGGUGUCGGCUUAAGUGCCAUAACGAGCGCAACCCUUAUCAUUAGUUACUAACAGGUCAUGCUGAGGACUCUAGUGAGACUGCCGUCGUAAGAUGUGAGGAAGGUGGA
rnacentral:rRNA from 1 species